rnacentral:misc_RNA from 1 species
UGUGCACGUGCAUGACAACACCGGGCUUGUGUGCAUGAGCAUUGAGUCGUCUGUAUGUGUAUGUAGUAUGU